rnacentral:rRNA from 1 species
AGUGAACGCUGGCGGUAGGCCUAACACAUGCAAGUCGAACGGCAGCACAGUAAGAGCUUGCUCUUACGGGUGGCGAGUGGCGGACGGGUGAGGAAUACAUCGGAAUCUACUUUUUCGUGGGGGAUAACGUAGGGAAACUUACGCUAAUACCGCAUACGACCUACGUGUGAAAGCAGGGGAUCUUCGGACCUUGCGCGAUUGAAUGAGCCGAUGUCGGAUUAGCUAGUUGGCGGGGUAAAGGCCCACCAAGGCGACGAUCCGUAGCUGGUCUGAGAGGAUGAUCAGCCAGACUGGAACUGAGACACGGUCCAGACACCUACGGGGGGACGCAGUGGGGAAUAUUGGACAAAGGGGGAGAGCCUAAUCCAGCCAUACCGCGUGGGUGAAGAAGGCCUUAGGGUUGGAAAGCCAUUUUGUUGGGAAAGAAAAGAAGCAGUUUAAUACCCCGCUGUUAUGACGGUACCCAAAGAAUAAGCACCGGCUAACUUCGUG